rnacentral:rRNA from 1 species
AUUGAACGCUGGCGGCAUGCUUUACACAUGCAAGUCGAACGGUAACAGGUUAAGCUGACGAGUGGCGAACGGGUGAGUAAUGCAUCGGAACGUGCCCGGUCGUGGGGGAUAACGCAGCGAAAGCUGCGCUAAUACCGCAUACGAUCUGAGGAUGAAAGCGGGGGACCGUAAGGCCUCGCGCGAUCGGAGCGGCCGAUGUCAGAUUAGGUAGUUGGUGGGGUAAAGGCUCACCAAGCCAACGAUCUGUAGCUGGUCUGAGAGGACGACCAGCCAAACUGGGACUGAGAAACGGCCCAGACUCCUACGGGAGGAAGCAGUGGGGAAUUUUGGACAAUGGGCGAAAGCCUGAUCCAGCAAUGCCGCGUGCAGGAAGAAGGCCUUCGGGUUGUAAACUGCUUUUGUACGGAGCGAAAAGGUCUCCUCUAAUACAGGGGGCUCAUGACGGUACCGUAAGAAUAAGCACCGGCUAACUACGUGCCAGCAGCCGCCGUAA